rnacentral:rRNA from 1 species
CGGAGGUGGCGAGCGUUACUCGGAAUUAUUGGGUGUAAAGGGCAAGUAGGCGGUUUAUUAAGUGAGAGGUGAAAUCUUUCGACUCAAUCGGGAAAUUGCCUUUCAAACUGAUAAACUUGAGGCUGGAAGAGGGAAAUGGAAUUCGCGGUGUAAGGGUGAAAUCUGUAGAUAUCGCGAAGAACACCAACGGCGUAGGCAAUUUCCUGGUCCAGAUCUGACGCUAAAUUGCGAAAGCUAGGGGAGCAAACAGAAUUAGAUACUCUGGUAGUCCUAGCUGUAAACGAUGAGUACUAGGUGUUGGCCCGUAAGGGUUAGUGCCGCAGCUAACGCAUUAAGUACUCCACCUGGGGACUACGGCCGCAAGGCUA